rnacentral:rRNA from 1 species
UACGUAGGGUGCGAGCGUUAAUCGGAAUUACUGGGCGUAAAGCGUGCGCAGGCGGUUUUGUAAGCCAGAUGUGAAAUCCCCGGGCUUAACCUGGGAAUGACAUUUGGGACUGCAAGGCUGGAGUGUGGCAGAGGAGACUGGAAUUCCUGGUGUAGCAGUGAAAUGCGUAGAUAUCAGGAGGAAUACCGAUGGCGAAGGCAGGUCUCUGGGCUGACACUGACGCUCAUGCACGAAAGCGUGGGGAGCAAACAGG